AGGAGCCAGCAAGGAGGAAGGGCAUGGCUUAGCUCAAACGUUCUAUACUAAAGCUGCUUGGUGCGGUGAAAACUAAAACUGAAACUCCUAUUCUUCUGCUUGUGUUUUGCAUUUGGAAGAGAUUUCUUUCCAGGUGGGGAGGGGGAGAGUAGAACUCCUUAGCAUCAGAGCGUGUUAAUAAUAUACAAAAUACUAAUAGCUCUGGUGGUCAUUUUGAAAAAUCCUUUCUUAGUGAGCACCUAGAAGCCAAGAGGAACAUAC